rnacentral:rRNA from 1 species
UACGUAGGGUGCAAGCGUUAUCCGGAAUUAUUGGGCGUAAAGAGCUCGUAGGCGGUCUGUCGCGUCGGUCGUGAAAACUUGGGGCUUAACCCUGAGCUUGCGGUCGAUACGGGCAUGACUGGAGUUCGGCAGGGGAGACUGGAAUUCCUGGUGUAGCGGUGAAAUGCGCAGAUAUCAGGAGGAACACCGGUGGCGAAGGCGGCUCACUGGUCCGGUAGCUGAC